rnacentral:misc_RNA from 1 species
CUUCGCUGAGCAUUACACCCAUUAUCAUGUUCUACAGCAUGAUGCAGAUGAGCGAAUUCGAACUGUAUGAAAAGGUAAUGAUUGUCUAAAAACUCAUUGAUGUGUCAUUUCAACAUGGAGUCUGUAACUUAGUGAAUUAUCAGGUCUUAUCUGGACAAAAGAGGACAACCACCUAUCUUGAUUUCGAGCAUGAAGCAGUACAUUUAUGGUCAUCUAAUUUGAAAUAGAUUUGCCUUGUGCCACUUGUCUUGUGGGGAAGACUUGAAACUCUUUGUCAUAGGUAAUAUUGAUUUUGAGUCUUUUACCAUGCUUUUGUAGAUCAUGCCUGAAACUGGUUACCAAUUAUUACACAACUAUACUGACCAAAUUCAAAAUUGGAGUUUGAUCUGCAAAGUUCAUUCUCAAGCUUCAAUAUCAUCUACCAGGU